rnacentral:pre_miRNA from 14 species
CCUCAAGAUCUCCAUGCCAAGAUCCAGGUCAGAAACUGAAAGACCCCCCAGAGCGGGGAGACCCUCACUCAAGUCUCGGGAUGACGCGACCCCCCCAAGAACUCACACAAGACC